AUCGAUGAUCAUGACUACGACGUGAAGAUGCGGGCGAUUAAGCGGUUCUUCGAAGAGGGCGACAAGGUCAAGAUAACGCUGCGCUUCCGCGGCCGUGAAAUGGCGCACUCGCAACUUGGCAUGGCCGUCCUACAACGCGUGAAAGCCGACACCGAGUCCAUCUCCAAGGUCGAAAGCGAACCACGCUUCGAAGGCCGGCAGAUGGUCAUGGUGCUCGCCCCCAAAUGACGUCAAUGAAAUGACUGCGGCGGGGUGUUCGCCCCGCCCUUGUCUACCUCUGUCCGUUGGCCCUCGCGCCGAUUACGGC
rnacentral:misc_RNA from 1 species